rnacentral:rRNA from 1 species
UACGGGAGGGUGCAAGCGUUGCUCGGAAUUAUUGGGCGUAAAGGGUAGGUAGGUGGUCUUAUUUGUCUGGGGUGAAAGCCUUGGGCUUAACUCAAGAAGUGCCCCAGAAACGGUAAGACUCGAGUCCUGGAGAGGGUCGUGGAAUUCCCGGUGUAGCGGUGAAAUGCGUAGAGAUCGGGAGGAACACCAGAGGCGAAAGCGGCGACCUGGACAGGCACUGACACUCAACUACGAAAGCGUGGGGAGCAAACAGG